rnacentral:rRNA from 1 species
AGGCGGCUGCUACCUGCAGUCGAGCGGCAGCGGAAGUACCUUGCUACUUUGCCGGCGAGCGGCGGACGGGUGAGUAAUGUCUGGGAAACUGCCUGAUGGGGGGGGAUAACUACUGGAAACGGUAGCUAAUACCGCAUAACGUCUCAAGACCAAAGAGGGGGACCUUCGGGCCUCUUGCCAUCAGAUGUGCCCAGAUGGGAUUAGCUAGUAGGUGGGGUAACGGCUCACCUAGGCCACGAUCCCUAUCUGGUCUGAGACGAUGACCAGCCACACUGGAACUGAGACACGGUCCAGACUCCUACGGGAGGCAGCAGUGGGGAAUAUUGCACAAUGGGCGCGAGCCUGAUGCAGCCAUGCCGCGUGUAUGAAAAAGGCCUUCGGGUUGUAAAGUACUUUCAGCGGGGAGGAAGGUGAAGAAGUUAAUAACCUCAACAAUUGACGUUACCCGCAGAAUAAGCACCGGCUAACUCCGUGCCAGCAGCCGCGGUCAUACGGAGGGUGCAAGCGUUAAUCGGAGUUACUGCGCAUAGAGCGCACGCGCGCGGUCUGUCGUGUCAUAUGUGAAAUCCCCGGGCUCCCCGUGGGAACUGCAUUCGACACUGGCAAGCUAGAGUCUUGUAGAGGGGGGUAGAACUCCGUGUGUAGCGUGAAAUGUGUAAAAA